rnacentral:rRNA from 1 species
ACUGCGAGUGAAGCGGGAAAAGCUCAAAUUUGUAAUCUGGCGGUCUUGGGCCGUCCGAAUUGUAAACUAGAGAAGCGUUAUCCGCGCUGGACCGUGUACAAGUCCCCUGGAAUGGGGCGUCAUAGAGGGUGAGAAUCCCGUCUUUGACACGGACUACCAGGGCUUUGUGAUGCGCUCUCAAAGAGUCGAGUUGUUUGGGAAUGCAGCUCAAAAUGGGUGGUAAAUUCCAUCUAAAGCUAAAUAUUGGCGAGAGACCGAUAGCGAACAAGUACCGUGAGGGAAAGAUGAAAAGAACUUUGGAAAGAGAGUUAAACAGUACGUGAAAUUGCUGAAAGGGAAACGCUUGAAGUCAGUCGCGUUGGCUAGGGAUCAGCCUUACUUUGGUGAGGUGUACUUCCUUGUUGACGGGUCAGCAUCAGUUUCGGUUGCUGGAUAAAGGCUGGGGGAAUGUGGCAC